rnacentral:rRNA from 1 species
GAUGAACGCUGGCGGCGUGCCUAAUACAUGCAAGUCGAGCGAACGGACGAGAAGCUUGCUUCUCUGAUGUUAGCGGCGGACGGGUGAGUAACACGUGGAUAACCUACCUAUAAGACUGGGAUAACUUCGGGAAACCGGAGCUAAUACCGGAUGAUAUUUUGAACCGCAUGGUUCAAAAGUGAAAGACGGUCUUGCUGUCACUUAUAGAUGGAUCCGCGCUGCAUUAGCUAGUUGGUAAGGUAACGGCUUACCAAGGCAACGAUGCAUAGCCGACCCGAGAGGGUGAUCGGCCACACUGGAACUGAGACACGGUCCAGACUCCUACGGGAGGCAGCAGUAGGGAAUCUUCCGCAAUGGGCGAAAGCCUGACGGAGCAACGCCGCGUGAGUGAUGAAGGUCUUCGGAUCGUAAAACUCUGUUAUUAGGGAAGAACAUAUGUGUAAGUAACUGUGCACAUCUUGACGGUACCUAAUCAGAAAGCCACGGCUAACUACGU